UCACCUAACAGUAAUUGCACAGACAGCU
rnacentral:sRNA from 1 species